rnacentral:rRNA from 1 species
UUUUGGACAAUGGGCGCAAGCCUGAUCCAGCCAUGCCGCGUGCGGGAAGAAGGCCUUCGGGUUGUAAACCGCUUUUGUCAGGGAAGAAACGGUUUGGGCUAAUACCCCGAACUAAUGACGGUACCUGAAGAAUAAGCACCGGCUAACUACGUGCCAGCAGCCGCGGUAAUACGUAGGGUGCAAGCGUUAAUCGGAAUUACUGGGCGUAAAGCGUGCGCAGGCGGCUUUGCAGGACAGAUGUGAAAUCCCCGGGCUCAACCUGGGAACUGCAUUUGUGACUGCAAGGCUGGAGUGCGGCAGAGGGGGAUGGAAUUCCGCGUGUAGCAGUGAAAUGCGUAGAUAUGCGGAGGAACACCGAUGGCGAAGGCAAUCCCCUGGGCCUGCACUGACGCUCAUGCACGAGG